rnacentral:rRNA from 1 species
UACGUAGGGUGCGAGCGUUGUCCGGAAUUAUUGGGCGUAAAGAGCUUGUAGGCGGUUUGUCGCGUCUGCCGUGAAAAUCCGGGGCUCAACCCCGGACUUGCGGUGGGUACGGGCAGACUAGAGUGUGGUAGGGGAGACUGGAAUUCCUGGUGUAGCGGUGAAAUGCGCAGAUAUCAGGAGGAACACCGAUGGCGAAGGCAGGUCUCUGGGCCACUACUGACGCUGAGAAGCGAAAGCGUGGAGAGCGAACAGG